AUGAACGCUAGCUACAGGCUUAACACAUGCAAGUCGAGGGGCAGCAUGGUCUUAGCUUGCUAAGGCCGAUGGCGACCGGCGCACGGGUGAGUAACACGUAUCCAACCUGCCGUCUACUCUUGGACAGCCUUCUGAAAGGAAGAUUAAUACAAGAUGGCAUCAUGAGUCCACAUGUUCACAUGAUUAAAGGUAUUCCGGUAGACGAUGGGGAUGCGUUCCAUUAGAUAGUAGGCGGGGUAACGGCCCACCUAGUCUUCGAUGGAUAGGGGUUCUGAGAGGAAGGUCCCCCACAUUGGAACUGAGACACGGUCCAAACUCCUACGGGAGGCAGCAGUGAGGAAUAUUGGUCAAUGGGCGAGAGCCUGAACCAGCCAAGUAGCGUGAAGGAUGACUGCCCUAUGGGUUGUAAACUUCUUUUAUAAAGGAAUAAAGUCGGGUAUGGAUACCCGUUUGCAUGUACUUUAUGAAUAAGGAUCGGCUAACUCCGUGCCAGCAGCCGCGGUAAUACGGAGGAUCCGAGCGUUAUCCGGAUUUAUUGGGUUUAAAGGGAGCGUAGAUGGAUGUUUAAGUCAGUUGUGAAAGUUUGCGGCUCAACCGUAAAAUUGCAGUUGAUACUGGAUAUCUUGAGUGCAGUUGAGGCAGGCGGAAUUCGUGGUGUAGCGGUGAAAUGCUUAGAUAUCACGAAGAGCUCCGAUUGCGAAGGCAGCCUGCUAAGCUGCAACUGACAUUGAGGCUCGAAAGUGUGGGUAUCAAACAGGAUUAGAUACCCUGGUAGUCCACACGGUAAACGAUGAAUACUCGCUGUUUGCGAUAUACAGCAAGCGGCCAAGCGAAAGCGUUAAGUAUUCCACCUGGGGAGUACGCCGGCAACGGUGAAACUCAAAGGAAUUGACGGGGGCCCGCACAAGCGGAGGAACAUGUGGUUUAAUUCGAUGAUACGCGAGGAACCUUACCCGGGCUUAAAUUGCAGAUGAAUUACGGUGAAAGCCGUAAGCCGCAAGGCAUCUGUGAAGGUGCUGCAUGGUUGUCGUCAGCUCGUGCCGUGAGGUGUCGGCUUAAGUGCCAUAACGAGCGCAACCCUUGUUGUCAGUUACUAACAGGUUCCGCUGAGGACUCUGACAAGACUGCCAUCGUAAGAUGUGAGGAAGGUGGGGAUGACGUCAAAUCAGCACGGCCCUUACGUCCGGGGCUACACACGUGUUACAAUGGGGGGUACAGAGGGCCGCUACCACGCGAGUGGAUGCCAAUCCCAAAAACCACUCUCAGUUCGGACUGGAGUCUGCAACCCGACUCCACGAAGCUGGAUUCGCUAGUAAUCGCGCAUCAGCCACGGCGCGGUGAAUACGUUCCCGGGCCUUGUACACACCGCCCGUCAAGCCAUGGGAGCCGGGGGUACCUGAAGUGCGUAACCGCGAGGAGCGCCCUAGGGUAAAACUGGUGACUGGGGCU
rnacentral:rRNA from 1 species